UAGGGAAUCUUCCACAAUGGACGCAAGUCUGAUGGAGCAACGCCGCGUGAGUGAAGAAGGUCUUCGGAUCGUAAAACUCUGUUGUUAGAGAAGAACAUGCGAGAGAGUAACUGUUCUUGUAUUGACGGUAUCUAACCAGGAAGCCACGGCUAACUACGUGCCAG
rnacentral:rRNA from 1 species